rnacentral:rRNA from 1 species
GCCCUUGACUCUGGGAUAAGCGUUGGAAACGACGUCUAAUACCGGAUAUGACGACCGAUGGCAUCAUCUGGUUGUGGAAAGAUUUUUUGGUCAAGGAUGGACUCGCGGCCUAUCAGCUUGUUGGUGAGGUAAUGGCUCACCAAGGCGACGACGGGUAGCCGGCCUGAGAGGGUGACCGGCCACACUGGGACUGAGACACGGCCCAGACUCCUACGGGAGGCAGCAGUGGGGAAUAUUGCACAAUGGGCGCAAGCCUGAUGCAGCAACGCCGCGUGAGGGAUGACGGCCUUCGGGUUGUAAACCUCUUUUAGUAGGGAAGAAGCGAAAGUGACGGUACCUGCAGAAAAAGCACCGGCUAACUACGUGCCAGCAGCCGCGGUAAUACGUAGGGUGCAAGCGUUGUCCGGAAUUAUUGGGCGUAAAGAGCUCGUAGGCGGUUUGUCGCGUCUGCUGUGAAAACUGGAGGCUCAACCUCCAGCCUGCAGUGGGUACGGGCAGACUAGAGUGCGGUAGGGGAGAUUGGAAUUCCUGGUGUAGCGGUGGAAUGCGCAGAUAUCAGGAGGAACACCGAUGGCGAAGGCAGAUCUCUGGGCCGUAACUGACGCUGAGGAGCGAAAGCGUGGGGAGCGAACAGGAUUAGAUACCCUGGUAGUCCACGCCGUAAACGUUGGGAACU